GUGGGGAAUCUUCCGCAAUGGACGAAAGUCUGACGGAGCGACGCCGCGUGAGUGAAGAAGGCCUUCGGGUCGUAAAGCUCUGUCAUCAGGGACGAACGGCCGGUGGAGUGGAAAGCCACCGGAUUGACGGUACCUGAGAAGGAAGCCACGGCUAACUACGUGCCAGCAGCCGCGGUAAUACGUAGGUGGCAAGCGUUGUCCGGAAUUAUUGGGCGUAAAGCGCGCGCAGGUGGGAUCUUAAGUCCAUUUUUAAAGUUCGGAGCUCAACUCCGUGAUGGGAUUGAAACUUGGAUUCGUGAGUAGCGGAGAGGAAAGCGGAAUUCCCCGUGUAGCGGUGAAAUGCGUAGAUAUGGGGAGGAACACCAGUGGCGAAGGCGGCUUUCUGGACGGUGUCUGACACUGAGGCGCGAAAGCCAGGGGAGCGAACGGGAUUAGAAACCCUUGUAGUCC
rnacentral:rRNA from 1 species